UACGUAGGGUGCAAGCGUUGUCCGGAAUUAUUGGGCGUAAAGAGCUCGUAGGCGGUUUGUCGCGUCUGCUGUGAAAAUCCAGGGCUUAACCCUGGACCUGCAGUGGGUACGGGCAGACUGGAGUGCGGUAGGGGAGAUCGGAAUUCCUGGUGUAGCGGUGAAAUGCGCAGAUAUCAGGAGGAACACCGGUGGCGAAGGCGGAUCUCUGGACCGUAACUGACGCUGAGGAGCGAAAGCAUGGGGAGCGAACAGG
rnacentral:rRNA from 1 species